GACGAACGCUGGCGGCGUGCUUAACACAUGCAAGUCGAACGGAAAGGCCCUGCUUUUGUGGGGUGCUCGAGUGGCGAACGGGUGAGUAACACGUGAGUAACCUGCCCUUGACUUUGGGAUAACUUCAGGAAACUGGGGCUAAUACCGGAUAGGAGCUCCUGCUGCAUGGUGGGGGUUGGAAAGUUUCGGCGGUUGGGGAUGGACUCGCGGCUUAUCAGCUUGUUGGUGGGGUAGUGGCUUACCAAGGCUUUGACGGGUAGCCGGCCUGAGAGGGUGACCGGCCACAUGGGGACUGAGAUACGGCCCAGACUCCUCCGGGAGGCAGCAGGGGGGAAUAUUGCACAAUGGGCGGAAGCCUGAUGCAGCAACGCCGGGUGCGGGAUGAGGGCCUUCGGGUUGUAAACCGCUUUCGCCUGUGACGAAGCGGGAGUGACGGUAAUGGGUAAAGAAGCCCCGGCUAACUACGU
rnacentral:rRNA from 1 species